rnacentral:tRNA from 1 species
AGGAUAAUAGUUAAAACUAACAUUUAAGUUGCAUUUAAAAAAUAUUGAUAUAAUCAAUUUAUCUUA